CUACGGCCCAUCGAGCCGCUGGGGGUUCCCCUCAUGGGCGAAGGGUCCCGCCCGGGGGUUGGCGCCCGCCACGAGGCCGGUGCCGAAGGGCCGAGAGAGUAUUUGGGAGCAGGUGGGAGUGCCCCAAACCCUGCCCUCACCACGCACCCUUACAGCAUGAAAGAGGUUAUAGUGGUUAUCAUGAACGUCAAUGAUUUUGUAAUACUCCCAGGCUCAAAACCUGGAACCUCAGUGAGAUUAAAAGCAAAAACUGUUAGAGAAUUGCAGUUGGAGAAAGCGCAUUUAGAAAUGGAAAAUGAAGAGAUGGAGAAGAAAUUACAGCAACUACAGUCAAACAUGAACAGAGAAAAAGAAGAGAGAAAGACAUCAAGUGCUUACCAUUGGAAAUCUGGACGGGCAGGACUAGUGACCACCCAAGCCCGAGUUUUGUCAAGAAGCAAAGGAAACAAUAAUAAGGUUUCUUCAGGAAAAGUGAAGUGGCAAAUUCUCAAAGAACAGAUCCAAGAGCCAGUGAAAGAACCAUUGAAGUGUGAAAUGGCAAGUGCUGCAGCUCAUAAAAAAUCUGAAGCGAAGGGGAUGGCACAUGGACCAUGUGAAAUUAAGAGUGCCCUGCUGACAGAAGCUGAUACGCGUGUUGGAAAAUCGGAAGUCGUUGAUCACUUCGUCAAGGGAAUAAAUCUGAAUGAAUUGAAAAUUAUUCAAGAGCAAAAGACAGUAAAUAGCAAGCAUCAGGUCACAUCAGACAAGUUUUCAUCUCUGUUAGUGUCAGUGGGCAGUGCUGAGGAACUGUCCUCAGCAUCAACCUGUACAAGCACUGAAUAUCACAACAAGGGAUUAUUACUAAACGGUACAUUUAAUGAGGAAGAAUCUGCAGAGUCUUUUCAGGAAGCUUUGCUUCAAUGGAGAAAAGGUAAUCGUGAUCACAGAGAAAAACUGUGUGCCAGUGGUGUCCUAUCAGAAUCUGUGGGAGUUUGUGAGGUACAGACCAAUCUCACUGUUAUGAAGAAACCUAUCCAAACUGAAUUCAAGAAGGGUGGCCUGAGCUACAUGGAGAAACUCUUGCUUAAGAAAUACAGAAGAGCUCCUGUUGAUCAAAUUUCUGUUAGUUGCAUUAAAGAUUUAAGGCCUGUGCUAACACUGAGUGUACAUCAGGCUAUGACUGGAGGAGGGAGAGAAGGAGAUGAUGACGAUGAUGAUGAUGUCGAUGACUUAACAGUUGAAGAGGUGAAGAGAUAUUGGACAUCUGUUGUUAGAAAAGAAGUACCCGACACUGUUCCUGAAAGUGCAGAGUCCUCUUUGAAAAUUGAAUUCCUUGAAGAAUCUUAUGACAAGGACUUGGAAGAAUCAUCUAACCUUUUGGUGACAGAAGCUGGGGCUGUGGGCAUGAAUAAACAAGGAAAAGCUGAACCACUCAAGCAGUGUGGAAGAAAUCCUGUUUCUUCUAAAGAAAUUUCUCAAGACAGUGAUGUACAGGAACAUACGGAACUGGUACUGCUACCUGAAAAAAUGGUUGUCUGCUGUUGUCUUGAAAGAAAUGUAGUCCAAAAGGAGAGUAUUAAGGUAACGAUUAUGGGAAGAUCACUUACCUCCUCUAAACUACCUGAGAAGAUCUCUAACCCAACUCAACUAAUGAGCAACAAAUAUCUCCUUGAGACACAACUGCAGAAAAACCAUAAAGGUUCCCAAGAACUGGACAGUGUCUGCAAUAGUCAGAGUUUGGUUUUGCCUGUAAUUACAAAGUCUUCAUUGUUACAGGAUAUAGCCAAAAGACAGAAAUUGGUUUCUACAUGGUACUGGGGACUUGAAGGUUUCUUUGUAGGUGUAAACCCUAAACGAGUAAUGCUUGAAGCAUGUUCUUCAUUGUGUGCUGACUCUAUCCCUAUGGACUGUAGUAUCUCAUUUCCAGGAGAUGGAAGGUGGUUUAUUGAAAGGAGCUUAAGUGAAUAUGCUGAUGACACUGUAGUUCAAGGUGUGUUAGAAAGUCAGUUGAAUAGACCUUCAAGUAGUUUGGAGGCUCACCGUAGAAUCUCAACCCUGAUGGCAGUGUGGCAGUCCUACCCAGGGAAUGAUUCUAGAGGACCUUGGUCAACAAAUAUGCCACGCUGUAAACUGACUGGAAAUUGUCCAACUAGCACUCAACGAAAACCAAAGAGUUCACCCUUGAGAGUUAAUACUGAUAUACCAAAACACAAGUGCAAUGAUGUAACUAAACAAGAUGAUUAUUUUUGGGAAUAUGAGGCUGACCAAGUAGCCCUACUUACUCUGGAAAAAGAAUUGCAAAGUUAUACAGCUGGUAAUGAACAAAUGUAAGAGCAAGGAGACCAGAAAAAUACGUGGCUGACUGCAAAGCAGAGUUGGUCUUUAAUGGAAAAGCAGAGAUGAUCAGAACAUGGGUCUAGAUGAGAACCAACACUUUGGGUGAACUAUGGACUUAGAUUCCACAAAACCACAGGUGGACAAUGGUGCUGCUUGGUAAGUGUUUAUUGGUGCAUGACAAGCAUGGGUUAAAGAAAAACCCCAGUUUCCACAAAUGUAGGAGCAAGAGAGAUUUACUUCCUGAAUGACAUGUCUGGAUAGAUGGGGAGUUGGAUCCUGCCAGACUUGAGUGAUGUCUCUUUGUCUGGAUGUGUCACUGGAUAACCAGCUGGGAAAAACUGACAGUGUUGUAUGAUAGAGUCAGAAGGUAAUUAUUGGAUUUUUUCCUUUUACAUGUUUUUUUUUAGAGGAUGAAUUCCACUAAAUGAUUCAUUUUUGACCUUAAUGAAGA